rnacentral:rRNA from 1 species
UACAUGGGGUGCAAACGUUGCUCGGAAUUAUUGGGCGUAAAGCGCACGUAGGCGGUUCGUUAAGUCGGAUGUGAAAGCCCUCGGCUCAACUGAGGAAGUGCACCCGAAACUGGCGAGCUUGAGUGCUGGAGAGGGUGGCGGAAUUCCCGGUGUAGUGGUGAAAUGCGUAGAGAUCGGGAGGAACACCAGUGGCGAAGGCGGCCCUCUGGGCCGGGCCUGACGCUGAGACGCGAGGGCGUGGGGAGCGAACGGG